GCAGCUUCGAGUUCGUCGUUCGAGCACAAAAUUAUUGAGUAACCGACCAUGUAACCACUGAUACUUCGAAGAAUGUUAAGCAGCAUAUUAAAAUCAUCGGCAAUUCGACAGUGAGGACUGGCUCCCUACGCAGAGUGCUUAGGAUUCCCUUGUAACUAUCGGUGCAGAAGUGAGGCAAUGGUUGUGUCACCUACAUUGGUUGAUAUGUAAUCUUGCCAUGCAGAAAAAGAGUGAGUGAUACAAGACAAUUUUGAAUUUUGUCUUUAUCGGGCCAAGUACCUAAUGAAGUAAACUCAAACAGUCAGUGUCACCCUUCCCUACCUAUUUGAUAUGACAGAACCUAUUUAACCUGAAAUAACAAGAAUUCUAAUCUCGAGUCUAUGCCAGGGUUAGCAGUCACAUCAAUUUGAACAGCAGUUGCUUGCAGUUGGGGCCAAGACGAAAUGUGAGACAUCCCUUUGUCAAGAGCUGUACAUAAUCAGUCAGGAGUCAGGUGGCUCCCAUAUUCUUUGGACAAAAGAACAUAGAGGCAGCAAAGAAUUAUUUCAGACGGUGGAAUUUGAACCAAUAGCAGAGCCUGAAGAAGAGCCAACAAAAUUUAAUCUACACUCCCCGAGACUGGCAUAUAAUGGUGGUGUGCACUAAUGUUUCUGAAGGAGUCACUGUCAAGGAAGAAAGCAGACUUGGCACCCCUCUCCAAAUUCAAAAUUCCCAAUAACAGCUGACAAUAUUUUCAAGUUGGUCAUGAAUGGCCAGUGCAAGAGCAAGCGUAUUUAAACUAGCAAGUAGUAAUACGUCUUCGCUCAACAAGACCCGAUCGUUACAGGAGAGCCUCUGCAAAUGAUAAAUGUCGCGCAAGUUCUCCAUUAUUGGUUGUCUGGCGAGUUAAAAUUAUCGUGCAGUACAUUUGGCAAUCAUGCCACCAUGCUGCAGACCGUUAGUUCUACUCUCCAUUGCCUGCCAUUUUCAUGGAUCUUGAUUGGACCAAGAUUAUUGAACGAUCGUCAAGCCGUCAGUGAAAGCGACUAUACCAACCUGACCAUCUCAAUCAUGGUUGCUUGCAUCUGCCCCCUUGUUUUACACUUGAAUGUGAGGAGCAAAAAUGGUGAACAAGAAAGGAAGAAGAAUUAUGAACUAGAAGGUGUAUUAACUACAUACUGCGCAUUGCACCCAAGGCAAAAUUCCGUCGUCACGGUCAUCUUGCUGGUGCAGAAUCUUUUAGGUGGUUCCCUUAUUCUUCAAUCAACUCGCUGGAGCGGAUGCUGGCUGGUGACGAUCAGCCAAGAAGCAACAAUAACCACCUCCUGCGUGAGCAGGAGAAAACAGAAAGGUGUGACCUCAAAGUGGAGACUCCUACUUCGCUGCCGUGGCUUUAACGAUAUCUACAUAGUUCAUUCAAUCCUCACUCUGGUCAUGUCCAUCCUUUCAUUGCUCUAGGAAAGUGCAGCUCCCGUAACAGAUUUGGUUAUUAAAUUCAUGCUGUUGGCCACCCACAUCUUUUAAAACAUAUCAAACGACACCGUGGUUAACUCCUGGAUAUUCUCAAAUUUUUUUGAAAAUCAAAUUUUGCUUUAUUCGACAAGUUUUAAACGAUCCGAAAGAGAAUCCAUAGUUUCAAGUGAAAAACUGGCCGGAUGUCAAGUCUUGCACCAACUCCGCAGCUUGCAAAGAUCUGGAAGUCCUUUCAUCAAAUACGGCUAAGAAACACAUCAGUGAAAAAUUCCAUCUUCACACGUUAAUGGUCUGCGACGUUAUGGUGUUAGUCAACGCGGAUGUAUUAAGAGCUGGGCCCUUGCGAAUCUUCUCUCAUACCUAGGGUAAUUUUGGAAUUGUCUUUUUUUAUGGUAAGAGUACCAUGUAUACUUUUAUGGUUAUUUUUGCGGUAAUUGCAUCUCGUCAUUAUUUAUGUGAUUUAUCCCCUCCCCCAUUUGUAACAUUUUUGAGGAAUUAUUUUAACGUUCCUUUUUGAAAGAGAAACAAAAAGGUUCGCCAUCUCAUACCAGCCUAUUACAGCAGUAAUCAAUGUUCGAGUACAGCGGCGUACAAGAUUGUCGCACAAAUUACGAUGGCAAUCGAUCUCUGAAUUGUUUAUCUCAAGUUGAAGACGUGAAGAGCCCUCGCCUACUCGCGCCUACUAUACUUCUGGGAAAUUGUCAUACAACUUUCAAGUGAGUCUUAUUCGGUUAUUCCCUUCUUUUUUUAAAUCUUUCAAGCUAGAUUAAGUGAACAUAAUAAAGGAAGUUGUGGAAGA